rnacentral:rRNA from 1 species
CUAUACGGUGAACUGCGAAUGGCUCAUUAAAUCAGUUAUCGUUUAUUUGAUAGUACCUUACUACUUGGAUAACCGUGGUAAUUCUAGAGCUAAUACAUGCUAAAAACCUCGACUUCGGAAGGGGUGUAUUUAUUAGAUAAAAAACCAAUGCCCUUCGGGGCUCCCUGGUGAUUCAUAAUAACUUAACGAAUCGCAUGGCCUUGUGCCGGCGAUGGUUCAUUCAAAUUUCUGCCCUAUCAACUUUCGAUGGUAGGAUAGUGGCCUACCAUGGUUUCAACGGGUAACGGGGAAUUAGGGUUCUAUUCCGGAGAGGGAGCCUGAGAAACGGCUGCCACAUCCAAGGAAGGCAGCAGGCGCGCAAAUUACCCAAUCCCGACACGGGGAGGUAGUGACAAUAAAUACUGAUACAGGGCUCUUUUGGGUCUUGUAAUUGGAAUGAGUACAAUUUAAAUCCCUUAACGAGGAACAAUUGGAGGGCAAGUCUGGUGCCAGCAGCCGCGGUAAUUCCAGCUCCAAUAGCGUAUAUUAAAGUUGUUGCAGUUAAAAAGCUCGUAGUUGAACCUUGAGCCUGGCUGGCCGGUCCGCCUCACCGCGUGCACUGGUCCGGCCGGGUUUUUCCUUCUGGGGAGCCGCAUGCCCUUCACUGGGUGUGUCGGGGAACCAGGACUUUUACUUUGAAAAAAUUAGAGUGUUCAAAGCAGGCCUAUGCUCGAAUACAUUAGCAUGGAAUAAUAGAAUAGGACGUGUGGUUCUAUUUUGUUGGUUUCUAGGACCGCCGUAAUGAUUAAUAGGGAUAGUCGGGGGCAUCAGUAUUCAAUUGUCAGAGGUGAAAUUCUUGGAUUUAUUGAAGACUAACUACUGCGAAAGCAUUUGCCAAGGAUGUUUUCAUUAAUCAGUGAACGAAAGUUAGGGAUCGAGGACGAUCAGAUACUCGUCGUAGUCUUAACCA